GACGAAGGGGGCUAGCGUUGUUCGGAAUUACUGGGCGUAAAGCGAGUGUAGGUGGUUGUCGUAGUCAGGUGUGAAAGCCUUGAGCUCAACUCAAGAAAUGCACUUGAUACUCGGCGGCUAGAGGACCGGAGAGGAUAGUGGAAUUCCCAGUGUAGUGGUGAAAUACGUAGAGAUUGGGAAGAACACCAGUGGCGAAGGCGGCUAUCUGGACGGUUUCUGACACUAAGACUCGAAAGCGUGGGGAGCAAACAGG
rnacentral:rRNA from 1 species